CUUCCCACGCAUGGUCGGUCCUUCCUGGCUCCCUCCACGAUGCUACGGCCAGCGGCUCUGCCUGGCGAAACCGGGAGGUCUCCUCACAGCGUUACUGCCUCUCGGGCUCUUGCUGACCUUCUCCUGGACUCGCUGCGGGAUCCGGGAGCUUUUGAAACCCCCAUGUCUCGGCUAACCCCGGGCGGCCUGACUCGGUUGGUCUGGGAGACACGGUAAUUCCCUUCUGCAUAUUUUCUGAGGAUCCUGUGAAAAGGACAGUGUUUUGUAGUGAAGCUUCAGGAUCCUCUGAACACCCAUCUCUGUGGAUGUUGUCACUCUGUCCUGUCUCUCCCGUCCGAUGCCAGCUCUGAACUCAGACGGUUGUCUUCUCUAAAGACGUAGAGUAACAAGGUUCUCAUCUUCUCCACAUUAUCUUCUCUGAGAAAGGAAAAGACUCAAAAUGAAAGUAGUAGCCAUCCUAAUGGACGUGAAGUGGAGAAAUGCUUCUUUGAAAAUCGGGAAAUGCUUGAUAACGUCAGAGACUAAGAAGAAGACAUCCCUGUGCCUGGAUCCCGGAACACCAGACCCAGGCCCACCAUGAGUUCGUUUGUGGCCACACUGCUCUCUAAUCCACCGAAAUCUCACACAGUGUCUGUUUCUAAGGCUCUUUUUCACUGAAACCGUAGGCCUGAGGACAAGUGCACCGGGGAUUGUCAGAGAAGCCGUCCCCUGGAUGCAGAGCCAAUCCACCCCUCCCCCGAGCUCAGGCACAGAUGUUGGACGUGCCCUCGGCUCUGAAGUCAGGACCAGAUAGGCUGCCGUCCAGCUGGGAGUCCUUCGGCCUCAGCUUGGGUUUAGCCCUGCUGCUCUUUGGCCAAGGGACCUCAGACACAUCACCUUGUGGAGGUUACGUCUUCAUCUGAAAAGUGAGGGUGACGACCCUUUCCUGGAAGGAUGGCUGGGAGGACGGCUGACCACCCAGGGCCAUGUCCUGACCCAACCACACUCCAUGUCACGGGGUCUUCAGUGAAAGGGCCCCUGCAGAACAGCAGUCUGUGGGCUGUGAUCAGAAAACAGGAGAACCAGGAGCUGCGAGGCUCCGUCCCUCUUCACACCCUUCCCCUCCCCCCACCUGGUACCCACAGCCCAGUCUCUGCCCGCUUCUCUCUGCUGCACGCGCCAGCCCGGCCCCGUGGCCUCUCCCUCUCACGUGGGGUUACAGACACUCCUCCAUGGUCUGGGCUCUCUUAUCUUCUCUUCCUCUGUAAUCUGACAGGCUUUCCACUGAUCAGGCAGGUGGUCUGAGGGUGUAGAUGGUCUACACUCGCACACACAGGGUGUGCUGGGCUGCCCGUUGAGUCGUCCAAGUCCAAAACAGUAAAAGGACCAGUAGUUCUUAUUUACAAAACCUAUGAGGUCAGCAAGGAAAGUACUACCCCAUCUGCAAAGGAGCAAACUGACGCUCUGAGGGGUUUGGGGGUCUGGCCACGACCCCGCGGACGCGAGCUGGGUCUCCUGGAGCAAAGAGCCCAGGGCUCCGCACUGGAGCGCCGCUCUCCCAGGUCCUCCUCCUCCCCCUCCUCUCCCUCUGGCCGAGUUUGGCCGGCCAGUACUGGAUCCCCUUCCGUGCAGCGUGUGCUGGUACCAGGCUGUCUGGGAAGAGACGACAGCCCUGACGUGCAGGAAUCGCGCGGUGUCAACACUCCCGGAUGGCUGACUUGAAGCUGUGGCCGACUCACAGCGGCUUCCUGAAGGCUCCCCGACGGGCCUGCAGCUGUGGCCCCCCCUCCCCCGGUCCUGGCCAUCAGUCCCCGGGAAUGACGCGCAUCUCGCUCCCACACCUCGGGUCACCCGACAAGGAGACAAGGACAACACGCAAUGCGCUAAGAAGGGAAGAAUCUCCCACAGACCUCGGGGCGGAGGGGAGAAGUUCCCACUAAGGGUUGGCGAGGGCGAUGCUCGGGAGGGUGUAAGGCGCCCGUGAUCCUGAGCCAGCAUUUAACCCUGUCAGCCCUGCUCCUUGUCAACCAAAAGUAUCACGUGCCCCUUGUGGAGACUUCUGGAAACAUCCUGCAAAGAAAGCUUGUCUUAAAGGCCACCAAAAGGCCAGUCAAACGAGGCACCCAGAAGACACCUAGUGGGAUGCUUGGAAGCGUGAGCUUUAGUAAGUGGAGGACAACGGGAGAUAAGACCUCGGAUUUCUGAGGACAACGGAAGAUAAGACCUCGGGUUUCUGAGGACAACGGGAGAUAAGACCUCGGGUUUCUGAGGAUAACGGAAGAUAAGACAUCGGAUUUCUGAAGAACUAACAGGAGGCAAUGUGCUGCGGCAGAUGGCACGUGAAGAGGUCGGACAUUCUCAGGCUGGAAUUCCAGCUUCUCCACUUACGGCUUCCGACUGCCCCCCUAGAGCCGCAUGGCCACGCUGUUUGCAUGUCUGCAGAGAGGAGGUGAUGCUAGUGCGUGCCCAGUGAGAUUGGUGUGUCCUCUGAGAUGCUCGGCGUGAUAAAACCUCCUGGUCCCACACGUCUGGACGCACUGAGCUCGGGGCCCUGGCUGGGUCAGGCUCAAUCCUCCUUUCCCUAAGGAGUGAAUAAAACAGCGUCACAUCUACAGACAGAGGGAACUAAGAUGAUUUUUGGAGAAUAUCUUAAAUGAAAACUUACAAAUGCACGUGAUAUUCACCAAAACCGCUACAAGAUUUCCCUUCCACAUAUUUUAUUGGGGAAGUAUAUAAUAACACGGAACUUUUUUUUUAAGUGUUCUAAUCAAGAAUAGCAGCAGAUGGGAUGAAGUGAGAGAGUGGCGUGGACAUAUAUACACUACCAAAUGUAAAAUAGAUAGCUAGUGGGAAGCAGCUGCACAGCACAGGGAGAUCAGCUCGGUGCUUU